AGUGAACGCUGGCGGUAGGCCUAACACAUGCAAGUCGAACGGCAGCACAGUAAGAGCUUGCUCUUACGGGUGGCGAGUGGCGGACGGGUGAGGAAUACAUCGGAAUCUACUUUUUCGUGGGGGAUAACGUAGGUAAACUUACGCUAAUACCGCAUACGACCUACGGGUGAAAGCAGGGGAUCUUCGGACCUUGCGCGAUUUAAUGAGCCGAUGUCGGAGUAGCUAGUUGGCGGGGUAAAGGCCCACCAAGGCGACGAUCCGUAGCUGGUCUGAGAGGAGGAUAAGACAAAGAGGAAGUGAGAAACGGAACAGAAACCUACGGGAGGAAGAAGUGGGGAAUAGUGGAAAAGGGGCGAAAGAGUGAAACAGACAUACCGCGUGGGUGAAGAAGGACUUCGGGUUGUAAAGCCCUUUUGUUGGGAAAGAAAAGAAGCAGGUUAAGACCCCGCUGUUCUGACGGUACCCAAAGAAUAAGAACCGGCUAACUUCGU
rnacentral:rRNA from 1 species